rnacentral:rRNA from 1 species
AACGAACGCUGGCGGCAUGCCUAACACAUGCAAGUCGAACGAGACCUUCGGGCCUAGUGGCGCACGGGUGCGUAACGCCUGGGAACCUGCCCUUAAGUUCGGAAUAACUCCCCGUAAGGGGUCCUCAUACCGGUUAAUGUCUUCGGACCAAAGAUUUAUCGCUUUUGGAUGGGGCCGCGUUGGAUUAGGCAGUUGGUAGGGUACAAGCCGGCCAUGGGGACGAUCCAGGGCUGGUCUGAGAGGAGGACCAGCUGCACUGGGACUGAGACACGGCCCACACUCGUACGGGAGGGAGCAGUGGAGAAUAUUAGAGGAGGGGCGAAAGCGUAGUCCAGCCAUGCCGCGGGAGUGAGGAAGGCCUUAGGGUUGUAAUGCUCUUUUAGCCGAGAUGAGAAUGACGGUACCGGGUGAAGAAGCACCGGCUAACUCCGUG